GAGGGAGUCCCUCCCUCUAAAAGCACUCUGUGUGGGGAACAUGAGAGCCAGACCAAAGCUCAGAGGAACCCACCUGGACCUCCACCCAGCUCUUUGUCCUUACAGAGUGACGCGUCUAAAGAAGAGCCCUUUAAUUUUAAAUCCCAGCUUGUGUCUGCAGCAGAGAGACUGACUGAAGUCCAGAAGAAGAUGAUGAUGGAGGAAGAGGAGGACAGAGC